UACAGAGGGUGCGAGCGUUUGUCCGGAAUUAUUGGGCGUAAAGGGCUCGUAGGCGGUCCAUCACGUCGGGAGUGAAAAGCUGGGGCUUAACCCCAGUCCUGCUUCCGAUACGGGUGGACUAGAGGUAGGCAGGGGAGAACGGAAUUCCCAGUGUAGCGGUGAAAUGCGCAGAUAUUGGGAAGAACACCAGUGGCGAAGGCGGUUCUCUGGGACGGUACUGACGCUGAGACGCGAAAGCGUGGGGAGCAAACAGG
rnacentral:rRNA from 1 species